rnacentral:rRNA from 1 species
AUACGAAGGGCCCGAGCGUUAUUCGGAAUCACUGGGCUUAAAGCGUACGUAGGCUGGUAUAUAGGCAUUUUGUGAAAUCCCUCGGCUCAACCGAGGAACUGCAGAGUGAACCAUAUAUCUUGAGACAGACAGAGGUCGUUGGAACGAUUGGUGGAGUGGUGAAAUGCGUUGAUAUCAAUCGGAACGCCAAUGGAGAAGUCAAGCGACUGGGUCUGUUCUGACGCUGAGGUACGAAAGCGUGGGUAGCGAACGGGAUUAGAAACCCUAGUAGUCC